rnacentral:misc_RNA from 1 species
GAUGAAGAACGUAGCGAAAUGGGAUACUUGGUGUGAAUUGCAGAAUCCCGUGAACCAUCGAGUCUUUGAACGCAAGUUGCGCCCGAAGCCAUUAGGCCGAGGGCACGCCUGCCUGGGCGUCACACGUCGUUGCCCCCCCAUCUACUCCUUCGGGAUUGCGGGGGGCGGAUGAUGGCCUCCCGUGCGCCUCGUCGCGCGGUUGGCCUAAAUGCCAAGUCCUCGGCGACGCACGCCACGACAAUCGGUGGUUGCGAAACCUCGGUUGCCUGUCGUGUGCGGUCGUCGCGCAUCGAGGGCUCGAAAAAAUUGCCGGGCUUCGGCUCGACUUUCAACGCGACCCCAGGUCAGGUGGGGUUACCCGCUGAAUUUAAGCAUAUCAAUAAGCGGAGGA